GAUGAACGCUAGCGGCAGGCCUAAUACAUGCAAGUCGGACGUGAUUGAGGAGCUUGCUCUUCAUGAAAGUGGCGCACGGGUGCGUAACGCGUAUGCAACCUACCUUCUUCAGGGGGAUAGCCUCUCGAAAGAGAGAUUAAGACCGCAUAACAUCAUUGAGUGGCAUCAUUUAAUGAUCAAAUAUUAAUAGGAAGAAGAUGGGCAUGCGUGACAUUAGUUAG
rnacentral:rRNA from 1 species